CUUUUUCUUCAGUUCCAGUUUAAGUUUCAUGAUGUUUUUUCACCCGUUUCAGAGUUUAUAAUGGGUGUGUAUGGGACGGAAUGUUGGGGCUAGAGUGAGGCAGCUCAACUGCUAGAGUGAGAGGAGCAAAAAAAAUAAUCUUAAAAUCUUUUUUAAAACUGCUGCUGUGUCCGCAGCGUUUGCUCUACAGGUAUGAUUUUACCCUCAAAACGUAGCCAUGGCUGUCCUCUUUCAUCCAAUGUGUUUACUAUUGUACUAGGUGUUAUGGUUCUUUCAUAAAUGUCACCAAUGCACAGCCUCCUCCCUCCAACUCUUCCAUAGACUCUAAUGUUAAAAUGGCUCAGAAGGUUCGUUUGAAAAUCAGAAGAGCAUGGUGUCUUUCCACUGUCACCACGUCCAUAUAAUAAGCUCCACAGGCAUGAAAACUGAGAAUUAGGUAGACUAGACAUUGCUGUCGCUCACGGUGAAAGAAUUUUGUCAAUACGACUUUUACUUUUCAUUUGGGAGCGAUUUGUUUCGGCCUGACUUUUCUGUUCAUUUUAAGCAGCAAAAGUAAGGUGCAUGUCUGUGUGCGUGUGUAUGGAGCCCUUGGGUGCGGUCACUAUAGCAACCAGGCUCACACCUGCCUGCUUAACGAGCUCUCUCUCUCACUCUGCCAAGAUUCAUCUUAAACACUUCUCUUUCAACUGCUGCUGUGUCCACAGUGUUAAAGCCAUCAUUUUACCCUCAAAACGUCGCCAUCGUUGUUCUUUUUCCAACAUCUUGUCUUUCAAAGCUCAGAGAUGUAAACUUUUUAAACUGUGUGGGUCCAAGUGGAGGGAUCACAUUUGAGUCAUUCAGUGAUUCAAAGAAUAUGACCUUUUAAUAUUCUUUCAGAUGUUUUCUGACUCUAAAUGUUCUUUUCUCAUUUCUUAGGGUUUUCUAAUUUACAUUUAAAACAUUUUCAGUUUUUUUCCAACUCCUUCUUCUGUGUAACCUUCAGCUUUUAGCAGUUCAGCACCUUUGUUUUCAGGUUAAAUUCGUUUUUUUUUUGUUUUUUUUUAAUCUCAUUCAAUAUUUUUAACUCAAAAUUCAGCAAUUAAUUCAUUUCAGUGCAUACAUUCAGAUUCAAGCAUUCACACUGCAGUUUCUUCAGAAAAUGCACUUUCUAGUUCUAUUUUAUUAUUAUGGAUUCCGUACGUUUUUUGUACUCUAUCUCCUUCAAAACCGUUCAACUUAGAAAAACCAUUCAAACACCAUUAGAUUCCUAUUCUUUUGGACAUGACUGCUUCUAUUUUUCUCAUUUUUAACAUUUAUAUUUUUAAUUUUAUUCAACUUUUUUCAACAAAAAUUUCCCAUGUAUUUCAAUGGGGAGACCCUUCAAAUUCUCAUUCAACUUCCUCCUCUUUAAACUGUAUCUACUUCCACAUACAUUGACAUAGAGCCACCAUUCAAACUUUAAAACGAAGACAAGACAUUCAACUAUUCAACUUGUAUUUAU
ensembl:lncRNA